UUCCUGUAGGUCGCGCGCUCUUUUGAACGGUCCAAUUCAAACUGCAGCGCGUGAGCUUCCGUUGAAAUUCGCUGAGCGUUUCUCAGUAUGGCUCCGUGACAUUUUCUCAAUAAUGCACAUAAUUGUAAAGCUGUUAUGGAGAGCGGUUAUCACCGAGAAUUAUUAAAACUUUAUCGUCAUAAAACUUAAUGUACAUGAGGAAAGGCGAUCGUUAUUUAGGCUACGAAACGAAAACGAUUCUACACUGAACUGAGCCCAAAGUGUAUCGACAAACUACUCAAGUCAAGCGAAUUAAGUCAGAUUUACCGAUUAAAGUGCUGUUUGUCUGCCUGCCACUGCAUGUGUAACUGACAGGUGUCUGUCAAUGGCAUUGUAUUUUGGUACUUAAAUCAUCUGUUGACUACUCAUCAUACUUUACAGCUACACUGCAUGAAGUCAUUGCACAAGUCCUGCUCUGCUUACUGAGCUUCCUCAGAAGGGACUCUUUCUCUCCGACCUCCAACACCAACUUAAUGGAACAAGAGUUUGAAGUUUAAUAAAAUUCAAUGUUUAAGGAUUUUAACCUAUAAUGAAAGUAGGGCACUGACAAGACCCAUAAAGGUCCCUAUAUUGAAAAACACUGUUAACAUAGUUCCCAUUACCAUUUUGGGGCAAAGUGUUAAUUGUUUUGUCAGAAAUUAUGACCACAACUGUAUGCUUGUCUCAUAUGCAGGCA